ACCGUUAUGGUGUAAUGGUAGCCACACAAGCUUGAGGGGUUUGCGGACAACGUGUCCAUUCCGGUUCGAGUCCGGAUAACGGUA
rnacentral:tRNA from 1 species